CAAAAUGCCCUGUCAUAUCCAGACAUCUGGUUAAAAUAAAAUAAAAAAUGUUUUUUUAUUCAGAUUGUGAUCCAAACUAUUUUCUGUUCAUUAGAAGUUUUAUUUUUGGAGGGAAUUGUGUUUUUUGCUCCAGGUUCAACAUCCAGCACAACCAAAGGGCCGUGGCUGGAGAGCAGCAGCAUCCACAGCCGCAUGCACACUCCUGUGCUCACCUCCACUGUCCAAAAACGGGCAGCACCGCCGCCGCCACCCACACAGGUCAGAGCAGCAGAGUCGGACGCCGGCAGUGGAUUGGCUGAGCUGGAGUCCGAAGACGAGUUCUCCUCAGGGAUGCUGAUGCGAAAAGUGAAUCCCACAAAACGGGGUCGUCUGAAUUCCGCCCAGACCGCAGCUGCUCGGGAUAAAGAGGAUGUGGCGUCCCACCUGACUUUGUAAGGCUGAUUUCAAAUGGAGGACGGAUUUCUGUGGAGAAUCACUUUUUAUGGGAUUCUUCUUUCAGUCGUAGAAACGUUUGUGUUUUAUCUGCUGUUCAGGCUUUCUCUGAUUGAAGAUGACAUCUCAGAAAGAGAAGAGGGUGAAGAUGAACAGGAGAUUGAAGAUUCUGACAAUGAAUCGCAGUCUUCUUACACACUGCCUUCUACAAGGCACACCUCCGUCAGCGUCCUCGAUGAGCUCUUUGACUGAAAUCAGUCGGGAUCCUCCAGCCAGAGGAGCUUCAGGAGUAAAAAGUACUUUAAAAAAAAAAGGUUUCAUUUUCUGUUUGAGAGCUGUUGCCUUUUGUAACUUUAUUUAUAAAGAUUUUUUUUGUUGUUGUAAAAGAUUAAAUAUUUUUGAAAAGUUGAAAUGUUUACAUUUUAUUGCAAGUAAUGUUCGAAACCUGUCAGCCUUUUUAUAAACUGAAAGUGCAAGGACUUCUUAGUAUGUUGCAUUGUUGGCAACAAGAGUUUUGUUAAACAGUUUUGUUUCUUUUUUUUAAGACUCUUAUUCAAAAGUGUUGUUUGGUGUUUCAUUCUUUUUGAUUUUGUAUUUCAAAAUAAAAAUUAAAUGCUGUAAAACACAGGUAUCAGCCCUGAUUGAUAUGUGUGAUGGGAAAACAUGUUAGGUUUUGAAUGAUUUAAACAUAUAAAGCAGUCAAAGCAGUUAACAACCAUGACAGAUCAUAAAAAUAACUGAAAGAGCCAUUAACCAGAGCUGAAAAAGAUACCAGUAAUAAUUGCAUAAAAAUCUCUUACCUCUAGUUUUGUUUACACAUUCAAUGAGAAAAAAUAACACAAACAUGUUUGCUUUUACAUUUUUUCUAUCAGACAAAAUGUAGAUUAGGGUUGGAUUUUACUCUGUACCUCCUUUGUUUUGUAGGUUCAGUCUGUUCAUGCAAAAUCUUAUCGUCACAUUUCGCGCCAUUCCUGACAAACUGGGCGGAAGUUUAUCCAGUCACGUGAGACGUCGUCUCCAGCAACUUUCCCGCCACUAUCAAAUCCCGCCCCUCCUCCGUGAAAGCUGCGACACUAUUGGCUGAUGCGAUUGUCAGACUCGCGCCACUUUUUGCUCUCCGACCGACACGAGCUGGGUGCUUGUGAAUGAGUUCAGCACUCCAAGAAUAGAAAAUAAAAUAUAUAUUUAAGCUUUACGUUCGACUUCAUCUGGGCUUUGUAGCGUUGCGUUACGAAUCAUCUGUCGC
rnacentral:lncRNA from 1 species